GCUUGUUGGUGGGGUAAUGGCCUACCAAGGCGACGACGGGUAGCCGGCCUGAGAGGGUGACCGGCCACACUGGGACUGAGAUACGGCCCAGACUCCUACGGGAGGCAGCAGUGGGGAAUAUUGCACAAUGGGCGCAAGCCUGAUGCAGCGACGCCGCGUGAGGGAUGACGGCCUUCGGGUUGUAAACCUCUUUCAGCACAGACGAAGCGCAAGUGACGGUAUAUGCAGAAGAAGGACCGGCCAACUACGUGCCAGCAGCCGCGGUAAUACGUAGGGUCCGAGCGUUGUCCGGAAUUACUGGGCGUAAAGAGCUCGUAGGUGGUUUGUCGCGUUGUCCGUGAAAACUCACAGCUCAACUGUGGGCGUGCGGGCGAUACGGGCAGACUGGAGUACUGCAGGGGAGACUGGAAUUCCUGGUGUAGCGGUGGAAUGCGCAGAUAUCAGGAGGAACACCGGUGGCGAAGGCGGGUCUCUGGGCAGUAACUGACGCUGAGGAGCGAAAGCGUGGGGAGCGAACAGGAUUAGAUACCCUGGUAGUCCACGCCGUAAACGGUGGGUACUAGGUGUGGGUUUCCUUCCUUGGGAUCCGUGCCGUAGCUAGCGCAUUAAGUACCCCGCCUGGGGAGUACGGAA
rnacentral:rRNA from 1 species